rnacentral:rRNA from 1 species
CGGAGGGUGCAAGCAUUGUUCGGAAUUACUGGGCGUAAAGGGCGCGUAGGCGGUUCUGAAAGUCAGAUGUGAAAUUCCGGGGCUCAACCCCGGAGCUGCAUUUGAAACUUCAGAGCUAGAGGAUAGUUAGGGAAAACGGAAUUCCACGUGUAGCGGCGAAAUGCGUAGAUAUGUGGAAGAACACCAGUGGUGAAGACGGUUUUCUGGGCUAAACCUGACGCUGAGGCGCGAAAGCAAGGGGAGCGAAACAGGAUUAGAUACCCUGGUAGUCCUUGCCGUAAACGAUGCAUACUAGGUGUAGAGAGGCCUCAACCCUUUCUGUACCGGAGCUAACGCAUUAAGUAUGCCGCCUGGGGAGUACGCUCGCAAGGGUA